CCAUUUCAAGUCCCUGAAUCUUUUCCAUUUAUGUCCUUCCUUUCUCAGUAGCCACAACAUCUUCUGGAGCAAGUGGAAUGACUGGGGCUGGACUCACCUCAGAGACCACAACUUCCCUAGGAGAAAGUGGUACUACCGGAGCAGAAAUAAAAUUAGAUACAUCUGGAGUGCCCUCUGCUACAACAAUUGCCCCUGGGAGUUCCAACUCAGAAGCCACAACUUCUGUAGGAGAAAAUGGAAAAACAAGAGCUCAAAUAAUCACAGGUACUACUGAGGGCAUCUCUGGCAAAGUUCAGGAACCUGGAAGUGCCUACACAGAGGCCACAACUAUCCCAGGAGGCAGCGGGAAAACCCGAGCAGGACCACCUGGA
rnacentral:lncRNA from 1 species